rnacentral:rRNA from 1 species
GACGAACGCUGGCGGCGUGCCUAACACAUGCAAGUCGAGCGGGGAUUUAAGUGGAAGUUCUUCGGAAUGGAGAUUUAAAUUCUAGCGGCGGACGGGUGAGUAACGCGUGAACAAUCUGUCCCGGACAGGGGGAUAACACUUGGAAACAGGUGCUAAUACCGCAUAAGACCACGGCCUCGCAUGGGGCUGAGGUAAAAGGAGCAAUCCGGUUCGGGGUGAGUUCGCGUCCGAUUAGCUAGUUGGUGAGGUAACGGCCCACCAAGGCGACGAUCGGUAGCCGGCCUGAGGGGGUGAACGGCCACAUUGGAACUGAGAGACGGUCCAAACUCCUACGGGAGGCAGGCGUGGGGAAUAUUGGGCAAUGGGCGAAAGCCUGACCCAGCAACGCCGCGUGAGGGAAGAAGGUUUUCGGAUUGUAAACCUCUGUCCUAUGGGACGAAGGAAGUGACGGUACCAUAGGAGGAAGCCCCGGCUAACUACGUG